GCUCAGGACGAACGCUGGCGGCGUGCUUAACACAUGCAAGUCGAGCGGUAAGGCCUUUCGGGGUACACGAGCGGCGAACGGGUGAGUAACACGUGGGUGAUCUGCCCUGCACUCUGGGAUAAGCCUGGGAAACUGGGUCUAAUACCGGAUAUGACUGCAGCAUGCAUGUGCUGUGGUGGAAAGCUUUUGUGGUGCAGGAUGGGCCCGCGGCCUAUCAGCUUGUUGGUGGGGUAAUGGCCUACCAAGGCGACGACGGGUAGCCGACCUGAGAGGGUGACCGGCCACACUGGGACUGAGACACGGCCCAGACUCCUACGGGAGGCAGCAGUGGGGAAUAUUGCACAAUGGGCGGAAGCCUGAUGCAGCGACGCCGCGUGAGGGAUGAAGGCCUUCGGGUUGUAAACCUCUUUCAGCAGGGACGAAGCGCAAGUGAC
rnacentral:rRNA from 1 species